AUUGAACGCUGGCGGCAGGCUUAACACAUGUAAGUCGAGCGGGGGAAGGUAGCUUGCUACUGGACCUAGCGGCGGACGGGUGAGUAAUGCUUAGGAAUCUGCCUAUUAGUGGGGGACAACAUCUCGAAAGGGAUGCUAAUACCGCAUACGUCCUACGGGAGAAAGCAGGGGAUCUUCGGACCUUGCGCUAAUAGAUGAGCCUAAGUCGGAUUAGCUAGUUGGUGGGGUAAAGGCCUACCAAGGCGACGAUCUGUAGCGGGUCUGAGAGGAUGAUCCGCCACACUGGGACGGAGACACGGCCCAGACUCCUACGGGAGGCAGCAGUGGGGAAUAUUGGACAAUGGGGGGAACCCUGAUCCAGCCAUGCCGCGUGUGUGAAGAAGGCCUUAUGGUUGUAAAGCACUUUAAGCGAGGAGGAGGCUACUUUAGUUAAUACCUAGAGAUAGUGGACGUUACUCGCAGAAUAAGCACCGGCUAACUCUGUGCCAGCAGCCGCCGUAA
rnacentral:rRNA from 1 species